GACGAACGCUGGCGGCGUGCUUAACACAUGCAAGUCUAACGGAAAGGCCCCUUUGGGGGUACUCGAGUGGCGAACGGGUGAGUAACACGUGAGUAACCUGCCCUUGACUUCGGGAUAACUUCAGGAAACUGGGGCUAAUACCGGAUAGGAAUCCUUGCUGCAUGGUGGGGGUUGGAAAGCUUCGGCGGUUUUGGAUGGACUCGCGGCUUAUCAGCUUGUUGGUGGGGUAGUGGCUUACCAAGGCUUUGACGGGUAGCCGGCCUGAGAGGGCGACCGGCCACAUUGGGACUGAGAUACGGCCCAGACUCCUACGGGAGGCAGCAGUGGGGAAUAUUGCACAAUGGGCGGAAGCCUGAUGCAGCAACGCCGCGUGCGGGAUGACGGCCUUCGGGUUGUAAACCGCUUUCAGCAGGGGCGAAGCUUUUGUGACGGUACCUGCAGAAGAAGCACCGGCUAACUACGUG
rnacentral:rRNA from 1 species